rnacentral:snRNA from 8 species
AUACUUACCUGGCAAGGGAGAUACCGUGAUCAAGAAGGCGGUUCACCCAGGGCGAGGCUCAGCCAUUGCACUCCGGCUGUGUUGACCCUUGCGAAUUUCCCAAAUGUGGAAAUCUCGAUUGCAUAAUUUAUGGUAGUGGGGGACUGCGUUCGCGCUCUCCCCUG